CAGUCGCCGCGGGAAUACGAGGGGUGCAAGCGUUAAUCGGAAUUACUGGGCGUAAAGCGUGCGUAGGCGGUUUGUUAAGUCUGUUGUGAAAUCCCCGGGCUCAACCUGGGAAUGGCAAUGGAUACUGGCAAGCUAGAGUGUGUCAGAGGAUGGUGGAAUUCCCGGUGUAGCGGUGAAAUGCGUAGAGAUCGGGAGGAACAUCAGUGGCGAAGGCGGCCAUCUGGGACAACACUGACGCUGAGGCACGAAAGCGUGGGGAGCAAACAGGAUUAGAUACCCCAGUAGUCCCUGUCUCUUAUAC
rnacentral:rRNA from 1 species